CCCUCCCCCACCCCUCUAUAUACAUAAUCAGAAACCAGCCACAGUGUGGACAGAGAUGUCAGAGUUGAAUGUGACAGAUAGCUGGAGUGCAUCCAGAACCUAACAUACCAGGCAGGCCUGGGGCUUGGUCAGCUCUGAGGGAAGAAGAGAGUGCCAAUGUUGACACUGAAGAACCAUUAUCAAGCUUUUGUCCUCUCAGGCUCUCUGUGACUGGGAAGAUGGGGUCAUUUAAUCUCAGAGCUGCUAAGUAAUUUCCUUGAUAUUAUGGAAUUAAUGAGUGGAAGGCCAGGAUUAAAAUAAAUGAAGCAAUUGCAAUUUUUAUUUGAGGAGCAAGAACAUACAGGUGCAGAUGACUGAAGAGAUUCUGUAUGAAGAUCUAAGGCCACGGCUGGCACAAGGGCACCCCUCUUCUGGAGUCCAUAUUCUCCCUCCUGGAGGCGGGGAGGGUACACUUUUCAGGCCAUUUACCCUUCACUGUCUGCAUCCUAGCUGGCUUUGGAGACCGCUCAGUUUGUACAGUACAAUGACUGCAGUUCAUAACUUAUUAGAUAUUUUAUAAACACCUAGGCAAAAGGAAUCUGAAGGUUCCCAAUGCAAAGAAAUGACAAAUACAUGUAAUUAAGUAUCACACUAUACCCCAUAAACACAAUUAGGAUAUACCAAUAAUUAAAAGUAAAAAGGAAGAAAACAGAUGGACAUUUCUCAUUUGAAGUCUGACACAAAUUUGACUUUAUAGUCUUUCAAAUAAUUUUUAUUCUCUUUUUUUUUUUUUUUAAUUUGAAAGGCAGAGAGGCAGAGACAGAAACAAAGAGAUCAUGUGUUCACCGUUUCACUCCCCAAAUGGUAGCAAAAGCUGGGGUUGGGCCAGGCUGAAGGACUUGAGUUCUUGCCACCCAUGUGGGAGACCCAGAUUGCAUUGCAGGCUCCCAGGGUGCACAUUAGCAAGAAUCCAGAAUAUGAAAUGGGGCCAAGAUUUGAACCCAGGUACUCCAACAUAGGAUGUGAAGGGGCCCCAGGUGAGUAUUAACUAGUAGGCCAAAUGCCUGCCACAGUUGUCUGAUCUUUUCCUUUAUCCUAUAGAACUUCAAUUCUACACAUAUUAUGUGCUUGAAAAUAAGGGACAAUACUUGCUCUGCCUUCAUUAUAGCCAUAGAAUCUCUGAAUGUGCUGUGUAGAUGGGUAAAGUAUCAUAUUACUAAUUAUAGGUAUCUUUCUACCACUUAAUACAUCCCCAACACAAAUUUACUGUUUCUAUCAAUGGACAAAAUUGCUUCUGAAGACAGAUUACAUUAUUUUGAGUCUCAAUGGGCAUAUUCUGUGCAAUAGGAGACUUCAUAUUAGGUGAGAUGUUUGGAUAGCAAUUGCUAUUUAGGUAGUGAGUCUAGCUAAGACAGACUGCAUUUUCCUGAACGAUCAACAUAUGUUCAAGAAUGUAUGUAUUUACAAUAUUAUCUGAAGUGAAAUAAACAAAGACAGACAAAUACUGGAUGACCUCAUUUAUCAUGUUGUUUUGAAAUACAUAUAAAUAUAUGUAUGUAUGUACAUACAAAUAUACACAUACACACAUAUAUAUAUAUGUGUGUGUAUAUAUUGUGGAAUACCUACAUACAUACUGUA